CAGGAGAAGAGAUAAAAGCCCGCCCACACUGACAAUUGAUUGGUUGAUUUACCGAAAUCAGGCCAAUCAGGAUGCUCUCUGACUUACACGCGCUUAAUGACGCACAUACACACACACACAAACACACACACACACACACACACACACACACACACACACACACACGCAAGGUCUCCCCCUCCCCCUCUGCCAAGGUUUGGAGCACAGUCUCUGUCGCUCGCUCUAGAUUCCGGGAGAUUUUAACUAUUUUGCGGGAAUCAGGGAGCCGCUAUGAAUAUGCGGGAGACUCCCGGAACUUCCGGGACACUUGAUGCCUAAAGUGUAUGUUCCAGAGUCUUUCCUCUCUGCACUGAGAACAAUCCUCUCUCUGUACUUGAUGGAGAUCUUGGACCUGAGUAAUGAAUGACUACAAAAGCAAGAUGAAGCUUCUUUUACAGAACUAAUAAUACUUUACUGAGAAACAGGAAGUUCCAUACACCAUCUACAUCCCUUGACUUGAAAAUGUUAAAGCAGCCCUGUGGUUUGUUCGUCUUGUCUGAAGAAAUAUUUUACUCACUCAUACUUACAUGGUCAUACAGGGUCUAUAAACCUCUCAUAACAGCCUGGUCCUUUUUAGGUCUCAUCAUUGUUGUGUUUCCCAUUUCCCCCCAUGAUCACGCUCACCUGUGUUGGAUUAUCACUUUAGUGCCACAUCAUUUAAGUUCUCAUUUUCUCAUUGUGUCUUGGUCUUGUUACUGUUGGUGCUAAAGUGUGUCUCAUCCUUGUCUUCAUGGUUGUAUCUUUUCCUUCCUAGUGCUUUUGUUUAGAGUUGUCCUGCUUUACAUAUUUAUUUCUUUUUGCACAUUAUAAUAAAUAGAAUCUGCACUUACAUCUGCCUUUGUUUGUAAGUAUUACCCAUCCAUUUAAUCCUGAUAUCCUGAGUUUAACAUUUUCCAUGUUUAUUUCAGAUAAAUGUAAAAAUGAUUAAAAA